GUAACACGUGGGCAAUCUGCCCUGCACUCUGGGACAAGCCCUGGAAACGGGGUCUAAUACCGGAUACUGAGCCACUUGGGCAUCCAAGUGGUUCGAAAGCUCCGGCGGUGCAGGAUGAGCCCGCGGCCUAUCAGCUUGUUGGUGAGGUAAUGGCUCACCAAGGCGACGACGGGUAGCCGGCCUGAGAGGGCGACCGGCCACACUGGGACUGAGACACGGCCCAGACUCCUACGGGAGGCAGCAGUGGGGAAUAUUGCACAAUGGGCGAAAGCCUGAUGCAGCGACGCCGCGUGAGGGAUGACGGCCUUCGGGUUGUAAACCUCUUUCAGCAGGGAAGAAGCGAAAGUGACGGUACCUGCAGAAGAAGCGCCGGCUAACUACGUGCCAGCAGCCGCGGUAAUACGUAGGGCGCAAGCGUUGUCCGGAAUUAUUGGGCGUAAAGAGCUCGUAGGCGGCUUGUCACGUCGGUUGUGAAAGCCCGGGGCUUAACCCCGGGUCUGCAGUCGAUACGGGCAGGCUAGAGUUCGGUAGGGGAGAUCGGAAUUCCUGGUGUAGCGGUGAAAUGCGCAGAUAUCAGGAGGAACACCGGUGGCGAAGGCGGAUCUCUGGGCCGAUACUGACGCUGAGGAGCGAAAGCGUGGGGAGCGAACAGGAUUAGAUACCCUGGUAGUCCACGCCGUAAACGGUGGGCACUAGGUGUGGGCAACAUUCCACGUUGUCCGUGCCGCAGCUAACGCAUUAAGUGCCCCGCCUGGGGAGU
rnacentral:rRNA from 1 species